CACGUAGGCGGACUGGUCAGUUGGGGGUGAAAUCCCAGGGCUCAACCCUGGAACUGCCUUCAAUACUGCCAGUCUUGAGUCCGAGAGAGGUGAGUGGAAUUCCUAGUGUAGAGGUGAAAUUCGUAGAUAUUAGGAAGAACACCAGUGGCGAAGGCGGCUCACUGGCUCGGUACUGACGCUGAGGUGCGAAAGCGUGGGGAGCAAACA
rnacentral:rRNA from 1 species